AUUGAACGCUGGCGGCAGGCUUAACACAUGCAAGUCGGGCGGGGUGAUGGUGCUUGCACUAUCACUUAGCGGCGGACGGGUGAGUAAUGCUUAGGAAUCUGCCUAUUAGUGGGGGACAACAUCUCGAAAGGGAUGCUAAUACCGCAUACGUCCUACGAGAGAAAGCAGGGGAUCACUUGUGACCUUGCGCUAAUAGAUGAGCCUAAGUCGGAUUAGCUAGUUGGUGGGGUAAAGGCCUACCAAGGCGACGAUCUGUAGCGGGUCUGAGAGGAUGAUCCGCCACACUGGGACUGAGACACGGCCCAGACUCCUACGGGAGGCAGCAGUGGGGAAUAUUGGACAAUGGGGGGAACCCUGAUCCAGCCAUGCCGCGUGUGUGAAGAAGGCCUUAUGGUUGUAAAGCACUUUAAGCGAGGAGGAGGCUCUUUUGGUUAAUACCCAAGAUGAGUGGACGUUACUCGCAGAAUAAGCACCGGCUAACUCUGUGCCAGCAGCCGCGGUAA
rnacentral:rRNA from 1 species